rnacentral:rRNA from 1 species
UACAGAGGUCUCAAGCGUUGUUCGGAUUCAUUGGGCGUAAAGGGUGUGUAGGUGGCGCGGUAAGUCGGGUGUGAAAUUUCGGAGCUUAACUCCGAAACUGCAUUCGAUACUGCGGUGCUUGAGGACUGGAGAGGAGACUGGAAUUCAGGGUGUAGCAGUGAAAUGCGUAGAGAUCGUGAGGAAGACCAGUGGCGAAGGCGGGUCUCUGGACAGUUCCUGACACUGAGACACGAAGGCCAGGGGAGCAAACGGG